AACAAGGUCAUAGAAGCACAUGUUCGACCGUUAUGGCUGCUGAAAGGGAAGCUGGUUCCUUCACUUCACUACCAGCAAAAGUCUUCAACAGUCACCUGCCCACUCAUGUCUUUCCUGGGUGCUCAGCAGGGUGCCACUGCAUGUCCUGUUUCCUCAGCACAGUUUCUCUGAUGAGGAUCCCAUGCCCUGCGGCUCAUCCUGGGGAGCAGAGAGAUGUGCUCACUUUCACUGUCUGGAAAGAGGAUGUUUGCGGCAUUUGAUGUUCUCCACCAGCCUUGCUGUAUCACUUACAUGAAUCCACUCGACGUUUGCCAGAUGAACACAGCAUCUACAGACAAGUGCAUGUCAAUCACUGUGAUGGGGGAUCUUGUGAUGCUUUUCCCUGUUUAUCAUCCACGAAGGAAAUGAGAGAAGACAUAGCAUCUAGUACAACAGAUCUAGCAUCAUCACAGGUAACUCUACCUUAUGUCAAGUUGACAAGAAAAAAACAAAACAAAACAAAAAACAAAAAAAAGAAGAAGAAGAAGAAGAAGAAGAAGAAGCACUCUCCUGGCUUGUGGUAUGAGUGUGCACACACAUACACAAAAGUGUGGUCCAGGAGGAUGCGGCCUGCCUGUGCGGUGUCUAAAGGCUACUGCUGGUGUAAGGAUCUCUGCUCAGCAGCAACUGGGCAGAAAGGCCAAGAAAGAAGACAGUCUUUCCUGUGCAUUUAGAUGAGCUGGGUGGUGAGAAGUUGGCAUACUGAUAGUUAUCACAGCACGAUCCUGCAGGCCAUUGCUACUAAGCUUCAUUUUCCCAGAGCCCUUGGAGAUGGGGCAGACAGAUGCUUUCUUCCUUGUCAGCUGCCUUGACACUUUCAUGAAGCAAGAAGUUGAGAUCCACACUUGGCAGGGAACCUUACAGAUCUUCUCACUUCUAGUUACUUCCAAGUGUUUCUGGGGAGGGGUGCAAAUGAGGGGUGGGUUGAUUGUUUUUAUUGGGGUUUCUGUCUGGACCUGCAGCUGGGCUGUUUCUCCAGAGCCCACAAGUUCACAUCCUAUUUCAAGGCUGCAAGGUAAUUUUCAGAGACAAGUAACCUUGUGUACCUUUGUGAUAGUAGGAAGUGGUGGAAAUCAGACUGGGAUUGCCUGCUAAGUGGUGUUGGGAAUGAGAUAGGCAUGCCUUGUCUUGUGUGCUAAACCCUGUCACUCUAUGGGCAUUAAUGAUGUGAUGGGUUUGAACUGGUAGCAUCUGUUUGAUGGGAGGGAAAACCACAUGGUACUUUAUUGGUCACAUGGGGGUGAUCUGAAAGGUGGGAUAGCCAGGUAUGACAUUUCCCACACACUCAGCCAUUGUGUGAGAUCUCCUUCCUGCUGUGAGGAGGCCACUGCUGAGUUUCCAUAGAGCCACUGGGAAACUAACUGACUUAACACAAGUGCUAUUUAUAAACAGUAAAGAAUCUGUACAAUAAAUCUGCAUUUACGAGACCUUAAACUUUAAAAGGGCUUUAUACUUUUACUGUUACUUUAUGCUCAAAUAGACACGUGAGGCCUCCAAGUGGAUGUUACUGUUAGACAGCAAGAAGUUUUUGUGUGAGAGACUAAGCCUGCAGUUGGGCCAUGCAACUCAGGAUCAAUGACUGUAUCAUGCUUCCUUUACCACAUCUCUGAAGGUUAGGGCAUGGGUGAUCAACAUUUCAGGCAGAUAAUGUACAUUUCAGGGUGGUUACCACCAUCCUUGGCCUCUGCACACUAGAUGCCAAGGGCACUCCUCCCUCCAACAGCCUUUGAGACAUCCCCUAAGUGAGUGAGCUUCUUGUCUGGGUAAUGCCAUAUUAAU